rnacentral:rRNA from 1 species
GACAUUUAUCAUAUCAUAAGCGGAGGAAAAGAAACCAACAGGGAUUCCCCUAGUAACGGCGAGUGAAGCGGGAACAGCUCAAAUUUGAAAUCUGGCCCUUGGGUCCGAGUUGUAAUUUGCAGAGGAUGCUUUUGGUGCGGUGCCUUCCGAGUUCCCUGGAACGGGACGCCUUAGAGGGUGAGAGCCCCGUACGGUUGGACACCAAGCCUAUGUAAAGCUCCUUCGACGAGUCGAGUAGUUUGGGAAUGCUGCUCAAAAUGGGAGGUAUAUUUCUUCUAAAGCUAAAUAUUGGCCAGAGACCGAUAGCGCACAAGUAGAGUGAUCGAAAGAUGAAAAGCACUUUGAAAAGAGGGUUAAAUAGCACGUGAAAUUGUUGAAAGGGAAGGAUUUAUGACCAGACUUUUUCUAGGGGGAUCAUCCGGUGUUCUCACCGGUGCACUUCCCCUAGUUGAGGCCAGCAUCGGUUUCUGUCGGGGGAUAAAAGCUUUAGGAAUGUGGCUCCCUCCGGGGAGUGUUAUAGCCUGUUGCAUAAUACCCUGACGGGGACCGAGGUUCGCGCAUUGCAAGGAUGCUGGCGUAAUGGUUAUUAAUCACCCGUCUUGAAACACGGACCAAGGAGUCGAACAUUUGUGCGAGUGUUUGGGUGUUAAACCCUCACGCGUAAUGAAAGUGAACGGAGGUGAGAGCCUUUCGGGGUGCAUCAUCGACCGAUCCUGAUGUCUUCGGAUGGAUUUGAGUAAGAGCAUUAAUGUUCGGACCCGAAAGAUGGUGAACUAUGCGUGGAUAGGGUGAAGCCAGAGGAAACUCUGGUGGAGGCUCGCAGCGGUUCUGACGUGCAAAUCGAUCGUCAAAUCUGCGCAUGGGGGGCGAAAGACUAAUCGAACCAUCUAGUAGCUGGUACGCAGAAUUUUCUC